rnacentral:rRNA from 1 species
GAUGAACGCUAGCGGCAGGCCUAACACAUGCAAGUCGAGGGGCAGCACAGAAACAGCAAUGUUUUGGUGGCGACCGGCGGACGGGUGCGUAACGCGUAUGCAACCUACCUUACACAGGGGGAUAACGGAUGGAAACGUCCACUAACACCCCAUAACAUCGGAAACGGCAUCGGAUUAGGUUGAAAUCUCCGGAGGUGUAGGGUGGGCAUGCGUUGUAUUAGAUAGUUGGUGAGGUAACGGCUCACCAAGUCGACGAUACAUAGGGGGACUGAGAGGUUAGCCCCCCACACUGGUACUGAGACACGGACCAGACUCCUACGGGAGGCAGCAGUGAGGAAUAUUGGUCAAUGGGGGCAACCCUGAACCAGCCAUGCCGCGUGCAGGAAGACGGCUCUAUGAGUUGUAAACUGCUUUUACACAGGGAUAAAUCGGGGUACGCGUACCCCGUUGAAGGUACUGUGGGAAUAAGGAUCGGCUAACUCCGUGCCAGCAGCCGCGGUAA